AGCUAAUGCACGGGGAGCUUGCGCAAAGCUUGCUGAGAGUAGGAUGUGUUCCUUGACCCGCAACCUGAUUUGGAUAAUGCCAACGUAGGGACUUGUAAAAACAAACCUCU
rnacentral:ncRNA from 2 species